rnacentral:lncRNA from 1 species
UCGCAUCUGGCUCUCUCAGCUGCUUGUGGGGCCUCUUGGAAGGCAGCCAUGCUAGACUCCAGUCUGUAAGCACACCAUAGCUUCAGUAAUCGUAUCAGGCAUUGGAGCCUCCUGUUGAGCUGGAUCAUUUUUUUCAUUUUUUUUAAACUUAUCAGUGUAUAUUUAACAACUCAACAAUUUUAUUUAUUUAUUUAUUUAUUUAUUUAUUUAUUUAUUUAUUAGCAUGACCCCAGCCUUUUUUCCAGUCUACCUUUAUACCACUUUAAGUACAUGCAAAAUAGGAAGAUCAGUUCUGGGCCAAGAAACAAGCAAGUCAAUAAACAAAAUCCUGUAAACACCAAUCAGGAUGGCCAAGACAAAAGGAAUGCCCACACAUGCCUCAGCUGAGCAGUAACUCUAAUGUAAAUAUUACUUUUUUGGGGGGAGGCAAGGAUAUUUUCUUUAUUUACAUUUCAAAUGUUAUCCCCUUUCCCUUCUUUCAGUUUCCCCACUCCUGGAAACUCCCUAUCCCAUUCUUCCUCCCCCUUCUUCUAUGAGGUUGUUCCCCCACCCACCCAACCACUCCCACCUCUCCUCCCUCAGUUACCCUACACUGGGGUAUCUAUCGAGCCUUCAUAGGACCGAGGACCUCUCCUUCCAUUGAUGCAUGACAAGGCCAUCCUCUGCUACAUAUGCAGCUGGAGCCAUGUGUACCCCUUGGUUGAUGGCUUAGUCCCUGGGAGCUUUGGGGGGUCUGGUUGGUUGAUAUUGUUGUUCUUCCUAUAGGGUUUCAAACUCCUUCAACUCCUUUAGACCUUUCUCUAACUCCUCUACUGGAGACCCUGUGCUCAGACCAAUUGGCUGUGAGCAUCUGCCUCUGUAUUUGUAAGGCUCUGGCAUGGCCUCUCAGGAGACAGCCAUAUCAGGCUCCUUUCAGCAAGCACUUCUUGGCAUCUGAAAUAGUGUCUGGGUUUGGUAACUGUAUAUGGGAUAAAUCCCCAGGUGGUACAGUCUCUGGAUGGCCUUUCCUACAGUCUCUGCUCUAUACGUUAUCUCCAUAUUUGCUCCUGUGAGUAUUUUGUUCUCCUUCUAAGGAAGGUCUUUUUAAAAAUAUUAUAAUAAAUUUAUGUAAAUAGCUAACAAACUGAAUAUCAGGAAUGUGUAACUAAGGGGAACAUAACUGAAAAAAUCCAUAGAUUAUACCUUGAUUUUGUAAUUUUUUAAUCAGUCUUGUGAAUUUGAGACCAUAUGCUCCCAAUGUUAGGCAACUGAUCAAACUCUGAGCCAGGCCCUCAGGCUCCUCAAUGUCUUAAAAUUGAAGUGUAAGCAUAAUCAUUUCAAUUCCUUAGAUUUUCUUUGAUAAGCAUAAAUUGUAUACAUUGUUAGUGUGCAGAAUGUAUUUUUAAAAUAUAUGUCUACUUUAUCAUCCUGAUUCUAGCUUAAAUUUUUAUCCCUUGUAUAUUGACUUACAAUUGCUCACAUUUAUAAUAAAGAUAAUAAUAUUGUCAUAAUAAUUCUCUCCUUGAUUUUGGCUAAAAAGAGGAAAAAUAGAAAUCUAUUACACUUAGAAAAAAGUAAUUUCUUAUAGUAAAGGUUAUGGAGACACAAACACAUUGAAGAUUUAGAAUGAGGAAAAAUAUUUAAGAGAGCCUUUUUCUUCAGAUGACAACAUCUAAUAAAGUGUACCGUUUCCCCUUUGCACUUAGGGUGGAGAAAACUUAACAUUUCUUAUUAACAUUUUCUUUUAAUCAGUAGAAUCAUUAGCUAGGCAAUCAUCUCAGUGUCACUGGCACUUCAGAAUCCUAGCCCCAGCCUGGCAAUGCCUCACUAACUCCUAUUGCUUUUUGGAGAGAGUUCUGUGCUGAUAAUUGACAGGAAAUCUCUGGGGGAUUGAAACUACACAUGGAUGUUUAAACAUUUUAUAGUAAGACAGAAAUUUCAGAUGGAAGGGAUCACUAGCAAUUUUUCCCUAUAUUCCCUGCUUCUCACUUCCAUAUUUGGACCAGCUUUUUUUAAAAAAAAAUCUUAUCCUGGUGCUAAAAAGUUAUUCAUUGGUGCUACUUCUAAUAAGUCAAGAUAAAAAUUUGGGUAGUUCACAAUGUGCUAUACAUAUGCUCUUGGGAUCAUCAAGAAAAGAAUAAAUAUAAUUUCUUCUGUAGUCUAAUAAUACACUGUUGCCAGGGAGUGACUGAAAGUGUUGAUUCUGAUUCUUCAUAAUGACCUAUGGACUUGGAGAGCAGGUGACAUUAACCUGCAAUAGAAGGUGGAAGUUCCCUUUGUGUUCACAUAUGGAGGUUCCCUACAGUCUAUGUCAGUAUAAUGUUUUUCAUUUUAAGUGAGUUAAAUUCAGAUCAAUUAAUAUAACCUACCAUUGACAUAGGCUACAAAAAACUCCAGGAACAUGCCACAGAGUAGAAGACUAAUGAAGUCUGAAACUGAAACUUCAAAGAUCAAACAUGCAUAAUCUAAUGAGGCCAUUCCAAAAUGGCUUCAAAGAAGGAUGCCUUCUUCUGGCAGGAACAUAGUUGUGGCCUCAAUGGAGAGAAGAGAGAGGGACAAACAGACUUUUUUUUUUUUUUUUAGCAGUAACUUAACCAUGCCUAAGGCACCCUCCUAUUAAUUUUAUCACAUUGGUUUACUUGGCCAACAUGUUUAUAAUGGUGAAUAACACUCUAACCACAGUAAGGAAAACUCAGCUGAAUGAGCCUCACUCUUUCCCCAGACCUCUAUGUUACUUCCAGGGGAAAUCAAUCCAAUAUGAACACUAAGUGUGUAAGGAUAGCUUGUGCUGUAACCCUAGUCCUGUUUCUGACACCUUUUGCGUUUUUAUAAUGCGAUAUUCACAGUUUAGAACAGAAACCACAUGCUGUGUCCUGUUGUUUUCCCACACAUUGUGUCUGUGUGGCUCAUCCAGAGCACUUUGUUUAACUCAAACUUUGGAUGCAUGUGCUUGGUGACAUUGAUGGCUGAGGAGCAGAAAGGAUUGCCUUUGAAUUGUUUACUGGCAUAAGUGUCGCAGAAAGGCAGGAAACAUUCAGUAAGAUGAAAAUACUUAGAAUAGCAAAUGUGAGCUAGAUAGGCUAGAAAUAAAUAUUGCUAUAUAAAAUUGAUUUAUAAUACAGUAAGUACAAGGUAAAGCAAAAAUAUUAAUUACACACAAAGAGAAUAGUAUUUAAUAAGUAGAUAAUUUAUAAGUAUCUAAAUGAAACAAAAUUUAGUUGUUAACAUUAAAUUUUGCUAUUUAAUCAAUUAAGCAUAAGAAUAUUUUACAGUACUAAACAGCAAAGCUCAAUAGAAAACAAGAGGUAGAAAAUUGAAUUUGUCAUCAUAUGAAGCAAUGGAAAAUAAGAUAUGUUAUAGCCUAAAGAAUGUUUAAAUACUGAAAAGUAAUAGUAAAAAUACAGACAGAAACUGAUAUAACAUGAAGUUAGAUUAAUGGGAAAAAUUCUGUUAACAAAAAGUACAAUAUUCAAAUUCUCUUCAGUUACAAAGUGUAAUUGAAUUGAUGUUAAAACCUAUGUCUACUCCUGAAAUAUAUACUAGCUAAGUAAAGGUAACUUUUCAUUAUUAACUGCCUUUUGAUUG